rnacentral:lncRNA from 1 species
CUGUUUUGCGUCAAGCGCAAAGAGCAGCUCUGAGAUGAAUGGUUCCAGGGCUCAGAGCUGCACGGUCAACAUGUAGCUGCCCCAGUCAAAGGGCUCCGGACUUCACUUCAUGCUGAUCCAGCCCUGCUGGUGAAAAGCUCUGGAUGGACAGACACAGAACCUCCACUUCCUGAAGCAGCACAGGUGCAGCGCCCUGCAGACGACUGCAGCUUGACCUGUCCUCUGGCCUCCCCGCUCGCUGUCCUCUGUGUCCACAGCCCUGGACCUCUGCGCUGCACUCUGGCAGGCGAUCAGGGGUGCCCAGUAGCGUGCCAUCUUCUGAACGUCCUUGACCAGUGUUUCAGAUUGCCAAGCCAGUCCUCUGUGAGCUGGAGGGAUGUGCAAGUGAAACUCUGGGCUGUGUGGUUCAGGGUUAAAUAUAUUAACUCAAUUCCCGUGACUUCUCAUACGCCAGUUGAACCCUUUAGUGUCGGUUCUCAGCUUUCUGUGAACCUUCAGGAGCACUGUAAGUCACAGUGGGUGUGUGUUGUUA